rnacentral:ncRNA from 1 species
GAGGAUCCAUUGGAGGGCAAGUCUGGUGCCAGCAGCCGCGGUAAUUCCAGCUCCAAUAGCGUAUAUAAAAGUUGUUGCGGUUAAAAAGCUCGUAGUUGGAUCUGUGUCCCGCACCGUCGGUUCACCGCCCGACGGUGUCAAACUGACGCGAUGCGGGACGUCCUGCCGGUGGCGUGUCUAGCUGGCGGCUUUCGGGUCGUUGGGCGGCGCCGAUUCAAUCCUGUCGCGGUGCUCUUCAUUGAGUGUCGAGGUGGGCCGGCACUUUUACUUUGAACAAAUUAGAGUGCUUCAAGCAGGCUGGAUAUUGCCUGAAUGCUAGUGCAUGGAAUAAUGGAAUAGGACCUCGGUUCUAUUUUGUUGGUUUUCAGAACCAGAGGUAAUGAUUAAUGGAGACAGGCGGGGGCAUUCGUAUUGCGACGUUAGAGGUGAAAUUCUUGGAUCGUCGCAAGACGGACCGAAGCGAAAGCAUUUGCCAAGGAUGUUUUCGUUGAUCAAGAACGAAAGUUAGAGGUUCGAAGGCGAUCAGAUACCGCCCUAGUUCUAACCAUAAACGAUGUUGACUAGCCAUCCGAUAAAGGUUCUUUUUAUGCCUUAUCGGGCAGCUUCCGGGAAACCAAAGUUUUUGAAUUCCGGGGGAAGUAUGGUUGCAAAGCUGAAACUUAAAGGAAUUGACGGAAGGGCACCACCAGGAGUGGAGCCUGCGGCUUAAUUUGACUCAAC